CAAUUGAUUGAUGGUGCUUGCACCUGAUUGAUUUUGGUCGCCAACGAGUGGCGGACGGGUGAGUAACACGUAGGUAACCUGCCCAGAAGCGGGGGACAACAUUUGGAAACAGAUGCUAAUACCGCAUAACAACGUUGUUCGCAUGAACAACGCUUAAAAGAUGGCUUCUCGCUAUCACUUCUGGAUGGACCUGCGGUGCAUUAGCUUGUUGGUGGGGUAAUGGCCUACCAAGGCGAUGAUGCAUAGCCGAGUUGAGAGACUGAUCGGCCACAAUGGGACUGAGACACGGCCCAUACUCCUACGGGAGGCAGCAGUAGGGAAUCUUCCACAAUGGGCGCAAGCCUGAUGGAGCAACACCGCGUGAGUGAAGAAGGGUUUCGGCUCGUAAAGCUCUGUUGUUAAAGAAGAACACGUAUGAGAGUAACUGUUCAUACGUUGACGGUAUUUAACCAGAAAGUCACGGCUAACUACGUGCCAGCAGCCGCGGUAAUACGUAGGUGGCAAGCGUUAUCCGGAUUUAUUGGGCGUAAAGAGAGUGCAGGCGGUUUUCUAAGUCUGAUGUGAAAGCCUUCGGCUUAACCGGAGAAGUGCAUCGGAAACUGGAUAACUUGAGUGCAGAAGAGGGUAGUGGAACUCCAUGUGUAGCGGUGGAAUGCGUAGAUAUAUGGAAGAACACCAGUGGCGAAGGCGGCUACCUGGUCUGCAACUGACGCUGAGACUCGAAAGCAUGGGUAGCGAACAGGAUUAGAUACCCUGGUAGUCCAUGCCGUAAACGAUGAGUGCUAGGUGUUGGAGGGUUUCCGCCCUUCAGUGCCGGAGCUAACGCAUUAAGCACUCCGCCUGGGGAGUACGACCGCAAGGUUGAAACUCAAAGGAAUUGACGGGGGCCCG
rnacentral:rRNA from 2 species